UUAUACUGUAACAAUAUUUUAAUUUGGCAUGUUUAAUUUUUUACUUUAACUCGAACAAUUUCACUUGAUUCUGACUCGACUCGACACAAAUUUUUUUACUCGAAUCGAUUCGAAACAAUUUCAAAUCGAAUUAGGAUGAUAAAAUAGGACUCAUCAACUUGAUUAACUCGAAAAAUUUUCACUCUAUUCGAUGAAAUGCUCACCCCUACCAUACGUAACUUAAAAAGAAAAAGAAAAAAAAAAAGCCCUCACUUCCCAGACUGCAACGUUCGAAAAA
rnacentral:lncRNA from 1 species